rnacentral:rRNA from 1 species
AACGAACGCUGGCGGCAGGCCUAACACAUGCAAGUCGAGCGAGGACUUCGGUUCUAGCGGCGGACGGGUGAGUAACGCGUGGGAAUGUGCCCUUCUCUACGGAAUAGCCCUGGGAAACUGGGAGUAAUACCGUAUACGCCCUAUUGGGGAAAGAUUUAUCGGUGAAGGAUCAGCCCGCGUUGGAUUAGGUAGUUGGUGGGGUAAUGGCCUACCAAGCCGACGAUCCAUAGCUGGUUUGAGAGGAUGAUCCGCCACACUGGGACUGAGACACGGCCCAGACUCCUACGGGAGGCAGCAGUGGGGAAUCUUAGACGAUGGGGGCAACCCUGAUCUAGCCAUGCCGCGUGAGUGAUGAAGGCCUUAGGGUUGUAAAGCUCUUUCAGCUGGGAAGAUAAUGACGGUACCAGCAGAAGAAGCCCCGGCUAACUCCGUG